AAUAUCGAUCAAUUAGAUUCAUCAAUAAUGAUUUUCAAGGAUAUUUGACAUGAUCGGAUGGGGUCCAACAUCUUGCAUGGAUAUCGAAGCGAUUUCGAGCUUCUUUUGGGAACAUCAUCUUGGGUUCGUACAUAGGUCAUCGAAGAGGAAGACAUGACUCAGUACAAGAUCUAUAGAUCUUUUUAGAGAGAGAAAGUGGGUGAAGAGAGAGAAAGUAGAGAGAUAAAGUGGAGGAAGAAUCUUCAUAUUUCUCAAAAGAAGAAUCUAUGAUCAAGAUUAUCAGAGAUCAUGUUAGGAUACUCAAUAAGGGUUAACGAUGAUCAGAUUGGACUAGGAUUGACCAACUACACAGAUAUCAAAGCGAGUCUAGGUCUGUUUCACAAGAUCAUCUUAAGUUCAUAGUGGGUUCAAAAGAUUAGAUAAAGAAAAAAAGAGAGAGGAGAGAGAAAUCCAAGAAGAGAGAGAUAAGAAAAUCAUUUUUCUUCUUUUUUUUUU
rnacentral:lncRNA from 1 species